rnacentral:rRNA from 1 species
ACGUAGGAGGCGAGCGUUGUCCGGAUUUACUGGGCGUAAAGGGCGCGCAGGCGGCAGCUUAAGUACGGUGUGAAAUCUCCCUGCUCAACGGGGAGGGUGCAUUGUAAACUGGGCAGCUAGAGGACGGUAGAGGGGGGUAGAAUUGCUGGUGUAGCGGUGAAAUGCGUAGAGAUCAGCAGGAAUACCCGUGGCGAAGGCGGCCCCCUGGGCCGAACCUGACGCUGAGGCGCGAAGGCUAGGGGAGCGAACGGGA